rnacentral:rRNA from 1 species
UCAGGUAAGACCCCUUGAAGACUACAAGGUUGAUAGGCUCAAAGUGUAAGCGUCGUGAGGCGUUAAGCUAGCGAGUACUAAUCGGUCGAGGGCUUGACCAUA